rnacentral:misc_RNA from 1 species
UUUCCGUAGGUGAACCUGCGGAAGGAUCAUUGUUGGAUUUUGAAACUUCAGGCUGCUGCUGGCUCUCCUCGGAGGGCAUGUGCACGCUUGUUGUCCAUUAUUUCUCCCACUGUGCACAAAUUGUAGACCUUUCAGUAGGCCUAUGUUGUUUCUCACAAUCUCUGAAUGUAAUAGAAUGGUUUUGAAUCUUGGGAAAUACAAUACAACUUUCAGCAACGGAUCUCUUGGCUCUC